AGCAGGAUGGCCUAGUGGAAAAAGCACAGGCCUGGGAGUCAGAAGACCUGGGUUCUAAUCCCAGCUCUGCCG
rnacentral:tRNA from 1 species